rnacentral:lncRNA from 1 species
AUGGCGGUGGGAACGGCGGCGGGAAUCGCCCGGGGGAUGAGGCUGGGAAAUCACGGAGAUCGGGGAUCCCGGGAGAUGCCGGGGGAAGGGGGCUGGGGUGGUCACAGGGCACCGGGAAGGGGUCAUGGGGUACCGGGAAUGGGGUCACAGGGCACCGGGAAUGGGUCUCAGGGCACCGGGAAGGGGUCACAGGGCACCGGGAACGGGUCACAGGACACCAGGAAGGGGGCUGGGGUGGUCACAGGGCACCGGGAAUGGGUCGCAGGGCACCGGGAAUGGGUCGCAGGGUACCGGGAAUGGGUCGCAGGGUACCCUGGGGUGGUCACAGGACACCGGGAAGGGGUCACAGGGUACCGGGAAGGGGUCGCAGGGUACCGGGAAGGGGUCACAGGGCACCGGGAAGGGGUCUCAGGGUACCCUGGGGUGGUCACAGGGUACCGGGAACGGGUCACAGGGCACCAGGAAUGGGUCGCAGGGCACCGGGAAUGGGUCGCAGGGUACCGGGAAUGGGUCGCAGGGUACCCUGGGGUGGUCACAGGACACCGGGAAUGGGUCACAGGGUACCGGGAAUGGGUCACAGGGCACCGGGAAUGGGUCACAGGGUACCGGGAAGGGGCCUGGGGUGGUGGCAGAGCACCGGGAAGGGGUCUCAGAGCACCGGGAAGGGGUCACAGGGUACCGGGAAGGGGUCACAGGGUACCCUGGGGUGGUCACAGGGCACCGGGAACGGGUCACAGGGUACCGGGAACGGGUCACAGGGUACCGGGAAGGGGUCACAGGGUACCCUGGGGUGGUCACAGGGCACCGGGAACGGGUCACAGGGUACCGGGAAGGGGUCACAGGACACCGGGAAGGGGUCACAGGACACGGGACAAUGUCCCUGGGCACCGGGCAGGGGUCCCUGGGCACCGGGCAGGAGUCCCUGGGCACCGGGCAGGGGUCCCUGGGCACCGGGCACCCUCCCGUGGAGCCAAACCGGGCCCCGGCCCGCCCCCGGGGCUUCGGGCCAGCUCCGCACCCGCCGCCUUUAUCACCGCUGUCCCACACCGAACGCGCCGGCGGGAUCGGCGGUAUCAGCGGCCGCAGUGCCGGGCGGGGCGCGGGGGCCCAGCCCGAGCGGCCGCUCUCACCGAGCCCGGAGCCGCCACCCACAAGCCGCCGCGCGCGCCGUUACCGAGCCGCCGCGGGCAGAGCCGCGCCAGGGCCGCGCUGCCGGGCUCGUCCCGCUGCGCCGCCGCGGCCGGGCCGGGGCCGGGGCCGCUCCCGCCGUCGCUACGGCAACCGCGCCCCCUGCCCGGUAAACCGGGCCCGCCCCGGGCCGCCGACCAAUGGCAGCGCCGAGCGCUGGGCGCCGGCCAAUCAGCGCCCGAGGGGGGCGGGACUAAACUGCGCGGCGGGACGGGGCGGCGCACGGGUCAAAAAGUUUGAAAUCGGCUGUUUCGCGGCGGGGCUGCCCCGGGGCGAGUCCCGGGACCCCCGGGCCCCUCUCAGACCCCUGAGAGGUGACACUGGUGACACGUGCGGCCUGUAGGGUCCCACGGGUGUCACACAGCACCCUACGAGAGCCUCCGGUGUCCAACGGAUGUCACAGAGCAGCCCGCGGCAUCCACGGUGCCCGCGGGUGUCGCACAGCGUCCUCUGUGUCCCCAAGUGUCCCCAAGUGUCCCUUGGCAUUCCACAGCGUGCACUGGGGUCCCACAGUGUCCCAUGGGGUUCCAAAGUGUCCCCAGAUCCCCUUCAGCGUCCCUUGCUCUCCUCUGCCAUCCCGCAGUGUCCCACGGGGUCCCCGGAAUCCCAAAGUGUCCCCAAAAUGUCCCAGCGUCCCCAAUGUCCUGGCAUUUCACGGUGUCCAUCGGACCCACGAGGUCCCACGGUGUCCUCUGCCACCCCACGGGGUCCCACCACGGGGACAAAGUGACAUUGGCACCCCACAGGAUCCUAAAGUGUCCCCAAAUGCCCCACAGUGUCCCACGGGGUCCCUCAGUGUCCCUCAGUGCCCCACAGUGUCCCACGGGGUCCCUCAGUGUCCCUCAGUGUCCCUCAAUGUCCCAUGGGGUCCUUCAGUGUCCCUCAGUGUCCCUCAGUGUCCCUCAGUGUCCCACGGGGUCCCUCAGUGUCCCUCAAUGUCCCUCAGUGUCCCACGGUGUCCUAUGGGGUCCCCUCAGUGUCCCACACUGUCCCUCAAUGUCCCUCGGUGUCCCCUUGGUGUCCCUCGGUGUCCCUCAAUGUCCCUCAAUGUCCCUCGGUGUCCCCUCGGUGUCCCUCAGUGUCCCCUCCGUGUCUCCUCGGUGUCCCUGAGUGCCCCACGAGAUCCCCGAGUGUCCCAAACUCCCGGCAGUGUCCCCGCCCGGUGCCAUCCCCGUUCCCCGGUGCCCCCGGUGCCCCCGGUGCCCGCGGUGCCCGGGGAAGGCCGGGGGCAGCCCCGGCG